rnacentral:rRNA from 1 species
GACGAACGCUGGCGGCGUGCUUAACACAUGCAAGUCGAACGGAAAGGCCCUGCUUUUGUGGGGUGCUCGAGUGGCGAACGGGUGAGUAACACGUGAGUAACCUGCCCUUGACUUUGGGAUAACUUCAGGAAACUGGGGCUAAUACCGGAUAGGAGCUCCUGCUGCAUGGUGGGGGUUGGAAAGUUUCGGCGGUUGGGGAUGGACUCGCGGCUUAUCAGCUUGUUGGUGGGGUAGUGGCUUACCAAGGCUUUGACGGGUAGCCGGCCUGAGAGGGUGACCGGCCACAUUGGGACUGAGAUACGGCCCAGACUCCUACGGGAGGCAGCAGUGGGGAAUAUUGCACAAUGGGCGGAAGCCUGAUUCAGCAACGCCGCGUGCGGGAUGACGGCCUUCGGGUUGUAAACCGCUUUCGCCUGUGACGAAGCGUGAGUGACGGCAAUGGGUAAAGAAGCACCGGCUAACUACGUG